CAGGUCUUGACAUCCCACUGACCGGUGUAGAGAUACAUCUUUCCCUUCGGGGACAGUGGUGACAGGUGGUGCAUGGUUGUCGUCAGCUCGUGUCGUGAGAUGUUGGGUUAAGUCCCGCAACGAGCGCAACCCUUGAUCUUAGUUGCCAGCAUUCAGUUGGGCACUCUAAGGUGACUGCCGGUGACAAACCGGAGGAAGGUGGGGAUGACGUCAAAUCAUCAUGCCCCUUAUGACCUGGGCUACACACGUGCUACAAUGGACGGUACAGAGGGUUGCCAACCCGCGAGGGGGAGCUAAUCCCAUAAAACCGUUCCCAGUUCGGAUUGCAGGCUGCAACUCGCCUGCAUGAAGCCGGAAUCGCUAGUAAUCGUGGAUCAGCACGCCGCGGUGAAUACGUUCCC
rnacentral:rRNA from 1 species